rnacentral:rRNA from 1 species
UACGUAGGGUGCAAGCGUUGUCCGGAAUUAUUGGGCGUAAAGAGCUCGUAGGCGGCUGUUCAAGUCGAACGUGAAAACUCGGAGCUCAACUCCGAGCCUGCGUUCGAUACUGGACGGCUAGAGUCUGGUAGGGGGAUCUGGAAUUCCUGGUGUAGCGGUGGAAUGCGCAGAUAUCAGGAGGAACACCGGUGGCGAAGGCGGGAUCCUGGGCCAGUACUGACGCUGAGGAGCGAAAGCCAGGGGAGCAAACGGG